rfam:Sus scrofa chromosome 5.
UCCCUGGUGGUCUAGUGGUUAGGAUUUGGUGCUUUCAGCACUGUGGCCCGGGUUCAAUUCCUGGUCUGGGAA